rnacentral:tRNA from 1 species
GGCCCCAUAGUCAAGUGGUCAAGACACCGGCCUUUCAAGCCGGAGGCACGGGUUCGAUUCCCGUUGGGGCUACCA